rnacentral:rRNA from 1 species
AUUGAACGCUGGCGGCAUGCCUAACACAUGCAAGUCGAACGGAGUGGCGGACGGGUGAGUAAUAUAUCGGAACGUGCCUAAUAGAGGGGGAUAACUACUGGAAAGGGUGGCUAAUACCGCAUACUAUGGGAUCGGCCGAUAUGGGAUUAGCUAGUGGGUGGGGUAAAGGCUCACCAAGGCGACGAUCCCUAGCUGGUGUGAGAGGAUGACCAGCCACACUGGAACUGAGACACGGCCCAGACUCCUACGGGAGGCAGCAGUGGGGAAUUUUGGACAAUGGGCGAAAGCCUGAUCCAGCCAUCCCGCGUGUAUGAAGAAGGCCUUCGGGUUGUAAAGUACUUUUGGCAGAGAAGCGGUAUCUGCAGAAUAAGCACCGGCUAACUCCGUGCCAGCAGCCGCGGUAAUAC